rfam:Gossypium raimondii chromosome 5, whole genome shotgun sequence.
AAUUCAUUAUGAGGGCGCCUUCUCAAAAGAUCCUUAAAUCUCUCCCAUGCAUCAUAUAAUGUCUCCAAAUCAAUUUGAGCAAAAAAAGAGAUAUCGUCCCUCAACUU